GGCACCUCGAUGUCGGCUCAUCGCAUCCUGGGGCUGUAGUCGGUCCCAAGGGUUGGGCUGUUCGCCCAUUAAAGCGGUACGCGAGCUGGGUUCAGAACGUCGUGAGACAGUUCGGUCCCUAUCCGUCGUGGGCGUAGGAAAUUUGAGAGGAGCUGUCCUUAGUACGAGAGGACCGGGAUGGACGCACCGCUGGUGUACCAGUGGUCCCGCCAGGGGCAUCGCUGGGUAGCUAUGUGCGGACGGGAUAAGCGCUGAAAGCAUCUAAGCGCGAAGCCCCCCUCAAGAUGAGAUUUCCCAUAGCGUUAAGCUAGUAAGAGCCCUUGAAGAUGACAAGGUUGAUA
rnacentral:rRNA from 1 species